rnacentral:lncRNA from 1 species
UUUUAAUGCAUUUAAUAGCUCUAAAAAUAUUUUAUCUGGACCUCCUAUUUGCCAGACAUUCUAAUAGGUUCUAUGAAGGAUUUAGACAAAGACUCAGCCAUAGGUCCUAUCAUCGAGAUUCUUCCAGUCUGUGAGGAGGCACAAACCUGCAUAAAUGUAAUUACAUUAUAAUAUUGCAGGUGUAAAAUAAAAGUAUGUUAAGAGCAAAGAGUUGGCAUAUGAUUAACAGCUAUGAUAUGCAGGCAAGACUUCCAGAUGAGUUGCUGAUGAAACUUGUGUGAGGCACAAAAAAGAUGGAUAAGAGUUUCACAGGAGUGUAAAAUGGCAAUGUGCAUUAUGUGUUUGUUAAGGGGUAUCAAGAUGUGGAAGACAUCAUCUGUGAUUCUUCUUGAGUCUUGGACUCUGUAAAAUCCACAUUGUCAAGUCAUAAGUCAACUUGAAGCUCAGAGGCUGCCUGUGUUGGGAAAAAGGGUGUGAAUCUCCAGGGCAAGACAAAGAUUAAGUAAUGGAUGCUUUGAUGUUGUUUCCUUGAAUGCGUCUAUCUCAUGUGUGUUUCUCCCCAAAUAUUUGGUGAUAAUGUGGUUUGGCUGAAGGAGAGAAUGUUUGUUGAACAUUAUGUCAGCAUAAUAUCAGCUUUAGAAUUUCACAGAUAUCUAAGUGUCCUAAGAGACCAACUGGACUGGAUAUCAGACCAAGAUUCUGAUAAAAGGGGAUAACAGAGAUUAACCGGAGCAGAAAAAGUACUUUUCUGAGCCAGAGAUAACAAGAGAAACUUAAAGAAAGUGCUGAAGCAAGAAACUUUAAGCCUGUGAGUAGAGUCUCACUCUGCCACCCAGGUUGAAGUGCUGUGAUGCGAUCAUAGCUCACUGUAGCCUCAAUCUCCCAGGCUCAAGUGAUCCUCCAGCAUCAGCCUUUUGAGUAGCUGGGACUGCAGGAUGAACCUAACCAGUUGGCAGUGCCUCGUACUCUGUGAUGGAUUUUCCGAAGACCAAAUGUACCAUUUUCUUGUCUUUUCAAAGAGAGCCACACAGGAAGGAAAACAAGAAAUUCAACUUUUAAGCUGGGCUAUUCAUGGCCUUUGCUAAAUCCUGGCAGAAUUUCACAGUUCUUCAUUACAAUUCAUCUCACUGAUUUCCUAAUGCAAUGAACUGGCCUUUUCAUUAAGGCCAUAGGGAAUGAAGCUGAGUUACCCAAUCAUUAAGUGUUGUUAUCUGAUGAGUGAAAAAUGGAUUACUUUUCGAUGUGCAUUUGGGGAGCCGUGUGUGUGUGUGUGUGUGUUUCCACUAGAUUCCAUUUUGCGAAAAUUGGUUCAAGUGGAAGGACAGGGUUAAUCUUUCAUGUUCUGUUCUGCUAGAACACUAUAUGGCUUUCUGCUCUGUGAGCAGGCAAAGAAAAAUUGGUGGGCUCAGGAAUCAGAAAUGCAGGGCCAACAGUCCUGUUUCUCACUUUCGAUAAAGGCCAACAUUUUACCUGCUCAAGAACACUCUAUUCCUUUAACCAACGGGAGUGUUAUUUAAUUAGUUCCUUCGUUUUUCAGCUAAAGCAGACACAUGCGCACAUCACACACACAUGCAUGCGCUGUGGUGUUUUUUCUUCUAUCACCCCUCCCUCCACAGAGAUAUCAAUUUGCAUAAGAGGAGAAAAUAAAUUCAUUUAAACCCCAUUCUAAAUUCAGUAUUAGAAAUGUAAUGAUCUCUAACACUGACCUUUUUAAAAUACUUUGUGGAUAAACCAUUGAUUUUAUUUGUUCUAAAUUUACUUUAAAAGACCUGUUUUGUAAAUCACUAAAACACAUGUAUUUUAUUUACCUGUUUGGGAUAAUAUUAAACAUAAUCUUUGAGGGUACUAUUUUGUCUAUUAUAGUUUUAUUCUAUAACAUAGAUUGAACCGUUUUCAUAUCCAAUUCAUUUUCAUUAAAUUUUUAAAUGGUAGUGGUUUAGGCUUGGGAUUAGAUAAUACAUAGCCCAUUUGAUAUAACAUUAAAGCAUCUUUAUUAGAUGUAAAUAAUUUAUCACCCAGGUGUUUAGUUUACAGAGUACUAAAUAUUUACAUAUUUCAUAACAUGUAAAUCAAAUGCUAAAUAAAAAAUUUUAAUUUGCCAUCCUGUUAUUUUAGCAUUAUAUAAACACAUUUGCAAAGAUUUUAAUGUUUUAAUGUGAAUUAAAGGUACAUGUACCUAACCUCUUAUCUUUCUACCAAUCCUAGUAUGCAUAUAUCUGAAAUAGUAGUGUGUGAGGUGUGUGUGUGUAUGUGUGUGUUCAUGUGUGUGACAGAGUGUAUUAUGUUUUUUGAAAUGCAGAGAUUAGGAUAAAGGAAACCAUAAAUGCAAAAUAAAUUAAUUCUCUAGAAUAAUUGUAUGCAGUGGUCUACACAAUUUUGUUAAAUUUGGCUCAUUCAUUUUUUUGUCUCACGUAUAAAUCAAAGUAAAUAGUUAAAACAUGAAGUAUGUUCUUUCCUAAGUUGGAUUGUGGUUUACAAGAUAUUGAAACAACUGAGCAUUAUAAAUAUAGCCAGUCAAUUUGUUGGGGGCUAAGAAAAAAAAAUGAAAGAAAAAAAGAAAAUUGAAGUUGUAUUUUAUCUCCAUGCAGCACUAUACAAAUUCAAAACCAAAUUCAGGAUUUCUGAGCUUGUAAAAUCUGAACAGUAACUCUCUUCAUUUUAGCCUACCUAGAUCUAUAUUUUAAUCAAUGUAAUAUUAGCAACCUGUAUAGAUGACAAUGAGAUGAAGAUGUACAAAAAUGUACCCAACUGUUCCAUUUUGAAGAGUAAUAAUUAAUGAGAACACUUAUAUUUGGGCAAUAGCAAAUGAAAUUAUAAGACUAUGUAAGCGUGACUAUGUUUUUUUGGUGUCAAAUAGACUAUGUCUACAUGAAUCCAAUUCAACCACCUAUGCUAAAUAUUCAAAUGGCCAUAUUAAUCUUUUUAAAAAAGAAACAAUGUAUCAGUCUUUUUGCCUUUGUAUAAAUAUAACAUCCUACAUAGAUUCAUUCAUUCCUUAAAUAUAUAUUUAUUGAUCACAUGUUAUGGGCUGAGACCUGUGCCAAACUUUGAGUAUUCG